AUUUCCCGCGCUCACCAGCGGCAAGACCGCCAUCGCCGCCGCGCCAUGGGCAAGCCGAAGCAGCAAGUCCUCUCCCGUUUCUUCUCCCCCAAGCCCGCGCCCUCCUCCGCCACCCCCGACCCGCCGCCGCCGCCCAACCCCAAACCCUCCGCAGCGAAUCCGCCCGUCUCCACCGUCGCCUCCUUCUCCCCAGCCAAGCGCGCGCGGGCUCUCUCCCUCUCCCCCAAAUCCCCCGCCGCCAAGCGGCCCAAUCCCACCCCUCCCUCCCGUGACGCCGUCCGCCGCAGGCUCCUCGAGCCGCUCCACCAGGCGCCGCCGCCGCACCCCCUCAACCCUACCGGUGGCAGCGGCGGCGGCAAGGGCUACACGCCGCUGGAGCAGCAGGUCGUCGACCUCAAGGCCCGCCACCCCGACGUCCUCCUCAUGGUCGAGGUCGGAUACCGCUUCCGCUUCUUCGGCGAGGACGCCGCCGUCGCCGCCGCGGUGCUCGGCAUCGUCGCCCACCCCGACCGCAGCUUCCUCACCGCCAGCGUCCCCACCUUCCGUCUCGGCUUCCACGUCCGCCGCCUCGUCGCCGCGGGCCACAAGGUCGGGGUCGUGCGCCAGACCGAGACCGCCGCCAUCAAGGCUGCCGCGGCCGCGCAGAAGGGUGGGGGCGCAGCGGCCGCGCCGUUCGCGCGCGAGCUGUCCGCGGUGUACACGCGCGCCACGAUCGAGGCCGCGGCAGGCGAGCUGGAGGGUGGUGGCGCCGCGCCUGAGGAGGGGAGCAGGUACCUCGUCUGCGUGGUGGAUAAGGAGGUGGAGGCGACGGGGAGGGAGGGGUUCGAUGUGAAGGUUGGGGUUGUGGCGAUCGAGGUGUCCACCGGCGAGGUCGUGCACGGGGAAUUCAUGGACACCGCCUCCAGGAGUGGGCUCGAAGCUGUGCUGCUUGGAUUGGCGCCCGUCGAGGUCAUCCUCGGAACGCCACUUACGUUCGCCACAGAGAAGGUGAUGACAGCAUAUGUGGGAACGGCCUCUAAUGUGCGGGUUGAGCGUGCAUCAUGUUUUUGUUUUGGCGAGAGUGGCGCUUUGGCUGAACUGAUGACUUUAUUUGAGAAGUCUGUGGACAAUACUUCUAGGGUUGAAGAUGACAGCCAACCGAUGGAAACAAAUGAUGAUGACACCAAUCUUUGUGGGAUUGAGGGUGUCAUGGCUAUGCCAGAGCUAGUCGUUCAAGCAUUAGCACUAUCAGUUCGGUAUCUCAAGGUUUUCGGCAUGGAAAGGAUAAUAUGCUUUGGUUCUUCAUUCCGGCCAUUUUCUGCAGAUACUGAAAUGUCCUUAUCAGCAAAUACUCUUCAACAACUUGAGGUGUUGAAAAACAACUCAGAUGGCACAAUAGAAGGGUCUCUGUUCCAAACUAUGAACAAUACAUGCACAGCUUUUGGGUCUAGAUUGUUUAGAAACUGGUUGACACACCCUUUAUGCGAUCGACAUCUAAUCUGUGCUCGUCAUGAUGCGGUAUCUGAGAUUUCUGAGUCAAUGGGAUCACGGCACUCAAUUAACAAUCUACAGGACGGAGGGGAUGGGUGUUGCACAGCUUUGGCGCGUAGCGAUUUGAGUACUAUCCUUUCAUCCGUUUUAGAAAUGCUGGGAAAAUCACUUGACAUUCAAAGAGGAAUAACAAGGAUUUUUCAUUGCAAAGCCACAGCUAAAGAGUUUGUUGGUGUUAUCCAGUCUAUCCUCACAGCUGGAAAGCAGCUGCAGAAGCUUUUUCUUGAGGAUAUUGACAGUGUCUCCUCUCAUCAUAAACCUGUGCACUCCUCUUUGCUGAGAAGGCUAAUAAGUACAGCUUCGUCAUCCACCGUACUAAAUACUGCAGUGAAACUUCUGUCUUGUCUUAACAAAGAUGCGGCUGAUCAAGGAGAUAUGCUAAACCUAUUCGUUGCAUCUGUAGAUCACUUCCCAGAGGUUGCAGAAGGUCAUGUAAAUGUAGAAAUGGCCCAACAUAAACUGGACUUAUUGAUUGUUGAGUACCGAAAGCAACUUGGUAUUCGCAACUUGGAGUUUAAAACUGUAGCUGGAUCGACUAAUUUGAUCGAACUACCAGUGGAUAGAAGGGUGCCUUCAAAUUGGAUAAAAAUAAAUAGCACAAAAAAGACCAUCAGAUACCACACCCCUGAAAUAUUGAAGAACCUGGAUAACCUAUUGCUGGCUAAGGAGGAACUAGCAGUUAUCUGCAGGUCUUCGUGGCAUAAAUUCCUCGAAGAUUUCGGCAAGUAUUGUGUGCAGUUUCAAGCAGCUGUUGAGUCUCUUGCAGCUCUGGACUGCCUAUACUCACUCACUGUUCUUGCAAAGCAGAAUAAUUAUGUGCGACCUAUUUUUGUCCAUGAGAGUGCACCAAGUCAGAUUCACAUAAAAAAUGGACGCCAUCCGGUUCUGGAGUCUUUGCUUGGGGACAACUUUGUUCCAAAUGACACAGAGCUUCACGCAGAUGGUGAGUACUGCCAGAUCGUUACAGGACCAAACAUGGGAGGAAAGAGUUGCUAUAUUCGCCAAGUUGCACUAAUUACCAUGAUAGCCCAGGUUGGUUCCUUUGUACCAGCUUCAUCAGCUAUGUUACAUGUUGUUGAUGGAAUUUAUACCCGGAUGGGUGCGUCUGACAGUAUUCAACAAGGAACAAGUACCUUCCAUGAAGAGAUGAAUGAAACUUCCAACAUAUUGCAUAACUGCUCAUCUCGAUCUCUAGUGAUCAUCGAUGAGCUUGGUCGUGGCACAAGCACACAUGAUGGCGUUGCUAUUGCUUAUGCUACUUUACACUAUCUUCUCAAAGAGAAAAAAUGUAUUUCCAUUUUUGUCACUCACUAUCCAAGGACUCUCGACAUUCAGAGAGAAUUUGUAGGUUCUGUUGGGGCAUACCAUGUUUCAUAUCUGGUAACAAAGAAGCUUUUGGAAGUUACUGAUAAACCAUUGGAGACUAGUCCAGAGUCAAAGGAUCUUGGAGAAAUUACUUUCCUGUACAAACUUGUUGCUGGAGCUUCAGAUAGAAGCUUUGGUCUUAACGUUGCCCUGCUUGCACAGCUUCCAUCUAGGUGUAUUAAGAGGGCAUCGGUCAUGGCCGCCAAACUACAAGAAGAGUUAAGCAUGCGUGAGGAGGUCAAACUUUGGAGGACAGCGGAUGCAGCAAUGGUGGAUGGACCAUCUGAAAGUUCCACAAAAGUUGGUUUGCUUUGUGCACAGCCUUACCAAGGAUUAGCAGAAGCAUGUCGCAGGGUACUGCUGAACAUGACUUUGGCUCAAAGCUAUAAUGAUGUAACAAACACGCUAACUUCUUUGAAGAAUGCACGGGAAAUUGCAAAGAAGACGAUAGAAGGCUUCCUCAUGUGAAGCAGUGGCUCGUUUGAGAAUUUGAGUUAUUCUUCCUAAAUGUGAAGGGAACUUAUCAGGGACAUACCCUGUGGAGCAAUAUUACGUUGACAAUUUGUACAAUAGAGCACCUGAUGUACAGUUCACACAGAAUUUUCUCUGGAUCUAACUAUCUGAAGAUGCAGGUAGCGUGUACCUUCCUACUUAGGAUCCAUAACGCCGAAGAAGCAUUUUGCUGGAGCGGUUUUUGGAACUGCUGCUUUGUCAGGUUAGCGUGCUAACCAUUUUGGCCACGAGGCUUAAUGGCAGUGCUGGUGGCUUAGCGAUGGUAGACGAAGAACUUCGAGUUUAAAGCAGCCAUAAUACUUGUGAUACUGUAUGUUACUGUAUACUCUGUCUCUGUAUCUGGAACUCCUUUUGGUGAUGUAAAGUGCAGAAAAGUAAUGCAUUUCUUUACCUGUCUUGUAUA